rnacentral:rRNA from 1 species
ACGGAAGGCAGCAGUGAGGAAUAUUGGUCAAUGGGCGGAAGCCUGAACCAGCCAAGUCGCGUGAAGGAAGACGGUAUUAUGUAUUGUAAACUUCUUUAGCAGUAGAGCAAUAAGCGCCACGCGUGGCGUGAUGAGAGUAUACUGAGAAUAAGCAUCGGCUAACUCCGUGCCAGCAGCCGCGGUAAUACGGAGGAUGCGAGCGUUAUCCGGAUUUAUUGGGUUUAAAGGGUGCGCAGGCGGUCAGUUAAGUCAGUGGUCAAAUCGUGAGGCUCAACCUCAUCCCGCCAUUGAUACUGGUUGACUUGAUUGCGGUCGAGGUAGGCGGAAUUCGUCGUGUAGCGGUGAAGUGCAUAGAUAUGACGAAGAACACCGAUUGCGUAGGCAGCUUACCAGACCGUUAAUGACGCUCAUGCACGAAAGUGCGGGGAUCGAACAGGAUUAGAUACCCUGGUA